CCAACCCCCUGCUAUGUGCAGGGUCACCAACCAGCAGCCCAGGCUGCCCAGAGCCACAUCCAGCCUGGCCCUGAAUGUAUUAUAUGUCCAAUGCAGACUCAUAGCCAGGGACCCUGACCGCUGCUCAUCUAUGCUGAAAUCCCAUUUCAUUCCAAAUUUCAUUCUCUAGAGGUAUGGAGAUGGGCUUAUUUAACAGACCUAUUUUCCCAGCAAGUCUCCUGUCCUUUCUUGAAGUCAGCAUGCUGCAUGAAGCCAGUGCUGAGCCUCAGUCCUUGCAAGCUCUGAGCUAUGCCCAGUAUGUGUUGUGCGUCAUAACAGCUGCCUUUCCUCUACCAAUAAGAGUCAGAACUCUGAAUUUCCUUCUGCCUGGGUGUAGGAGGCAUUGUGCUACCAGAGCAACCGUCCUCCCAGCCAGGCCUGCUUUCCUGCACUCGGUGCUCAGCUGAGCAAGCUGUGAGGAGUUUCUGUGGCACUGGUGGCUCUGCACACCUGCUGGUGACUGCGGGGCAUUCUGUGCUCACAGCUCCUGUGGGACAGCUGCCUGCUAAAGGGGAGCGCAGUCUGGAGCUGAUGAGCUUGUAAGAAAGAUUGCUGCAAAUUGAGUGAGUGCCUGCUGCAGUAUGGAAACCAUUCCUUGUUGGUCUGGACAUAAGGAGAGGUGUAACCCGAAGUGCUGUUUUCCUAGUAACCCACAUAAAUAUCCACGCUAGGCUCUGUGAGAAGUACUUAGACAAAUUGUGAUGAUCAUCUUUCAGAGCCAUCAGGAUGGCCAUUACCCUUAUUGUAGGCCAACACUGGUAGUCUGUUGCCUUUAUUUCUGUCCGUAUUGGCCCAUAUGGCUCAGCAAGGACAGGUCUCUGUGCUAAGGCUGGUUUGUUUAAUGACAUCUGAAAAACAGGAUGAUGGGAAGCAGCAGCAGAACCAUCUGGUCUCCCAUUCUGUCUCCUAGAAUACUUCGAAUGCUUCUUCGUUUGAGGUAGUUGAACUUUUGCUGCUUGUUUUGGUUUUAAGUCUUAUGAAUCAUAUGGAAAGGGAAAGCAGGGCUGUAUUUGGGCUGGGCUGGUGCUGAGGGCUAUUCCUGCUGAGGGUGCCUGUGCUGGUGGCUGCUGCGUGCUGCUUGUCAUGUGCUGAAAAGCCAAUGUCCUGUGCCUCCUGUAAAACAGGCAGUGUAGUUUUGUGAAUACGUGUUAACUGUGGGCUUCUGUGCUCAAAAAAUGCUGUUACAGGGAUAGGCUCGAUGUAAUCAGUGUACAAUAGCAGCAACAGUGCCUGGUGGUUGUGCAGACCUUCAAGCAAGCUGCCUUGCUGGGUGUCUGCUGCCCUCCCUCCCCAAGGUUCUGAGUGCAGUGGAUGCAGAGCUGCAGCAUCACCCAUUGCGAGGGCUUGGAAGGAAUGCAGUAGUGAGGCUUUGAUUUGUUCAACUCGCUGCUUCUCCCUCGAUUUAGCCAUUCUCUUACGAAGUGCAGUGAGAGUUCUGCAGAGAGCAGGCAAGUUCCAGCAGGAGCUUCCAAGCUGUGAGUCGUGUCGCGUCCCCUCAGAAACACUGUGAUGUAAAAAUCCCCUGUGCUGUGGGCAGAGCUCCAGAGAGAGCAAACCUCUGCUCUGAGGUCGGAUUAAGAGCAUGUUCAGAUAAUGACAUCUGAAAACAGGAUGGCUGGGAGCUGCAGCAGAGCAACCAGGGGGCUUUGAAAGAGAGAGGAGUCUAAUCCUCUCUGCUAAUAAGGAGGCAGCUGCUGCCAGUGCAUGGGGCUCAGCAGGCUCUGCUUUGCUGCUCCUGGGUUCUCUGACUGGUGGCAGAGGGCAGCAGGCACAGACACCCAGCUGUUUUCAUUGUGGGGAAGAGCAAAGCAGGAGGAGUUUGCUUUGCUUUCUUUGGGUAAAACGAGAACUUUGCCACUGCUCCUUGCCUCCCCAAAGCAGCUUAUUCAAGUCCUUGUCAAAUGACACCUGCUGCCUGUGCCUAUCUGCCUCAUAGAGCAGGUGGGGAAAGCCUGUUUCCAGAGCUGGUGAGGAAGCGCCCAGGCCUGGCCUUUGUUCAGGUGGAAUGGUGGGAACAAACUGCACUGAGCACCCAGGGUUUAUCUUACCUGUUGCUCCUUUGCAGGAACUCACAACUGCUGGCUCGGCUGCUCCAAGGCAGUGCUGUAGCAGUGUGGAUGGAAAGACAAAAUCUGCCCUGAAAAGGACUUUUUCAUCCCCAAGGGCAUCACUUCUCUCUGCCAACACGUGGCACAUGCAAGUGACAGCAGCAGGAGGAAGCUACGGAGGGGCCAGAAUCAAAAUCUCCAGGACCAACAUGCAGCACACGAGGUUGGAGGCAAGAAGAAUUUCACACCAGGUGCAAAACUGUGAGUGUAAUUGGAAAUUAUAGCUUGCAAUUAAAACACACUUUUUUUCUUCUUUGCCCUCCAUCUUCAUGCUGAAAUUGCCAUCCUUUUAAAGAGGCACAAUUUGAGACAUGCAGUGCAUGGGACCUGAGAAUCUAGAGCAGCCUGCAUCCUCGCCUAGGAGACUGAGGAAACAGUCAUUUGUUUGAAUGCUGUGGGAUUGUUUUUUCCUUGCUGACAAGCACACCUGGACAAAUCCCUGCUAUCCACAUCAACUCCUUCCUCCCUUACCUACAAGAAAUUACAGCCAAACCACCACCUAUGGAUGCUACUCUUGUUUGCCUUCAGACAGUACUACAAGAUAAGGCAUUGUAAAGAGAAGACAGAAUAUCUGGGAAAUAAACAGAAUUUGGAAUCUGACCUGCUUAAAACUCGAUGCGUCUGCUCAGCUUUUACAACAGCUCAAACAGAUGUGCUUAAAACUUCAGCUGAACCAAUUUUGUUUUCCUCAUACAGCAAGUUUCAGAACAAGGGUAUGAAAAGGAAGAUAACCUGCUACACUCAUCAGCCAUUAGGCAGCGUUCAGUCCCUAAUGCUCAGCUGGAGAUUAUAAACCCCAGCAGAUUUAAUCCCAAUCAAAUCUCAAUGGUAAGUACAUGCCAUAAACUUGUCUUUUCAACUAAUAACAAU